rnacentral:pre_miRNA from 1 species
CAGUGUUGUGGAUCUCAGGAGGCAGAACUCUGGGCACACCUACCAUGGCCUGGAUGCCUCUCCUGCUUCCCAUCCUCACUCUCUGCACAGGUGC